UACGUAGGGGCCGAGCGUUGUCCGGAGUUAUUGGGCGUAAAGCGCGCGCAGGCGGCCUCGCGCGCCCGACGUGAAAGCCCCCGGCUUAACCGGGGAGGGUCGUUGGGGACGGCGGGGCUUGAGGGCGGGAGAGGUCGGUGGAAUUCCCGGUGUAGUGGUGAAAUGCGUAGAGAUCGGGAGGAACACCGGUGGCGAAGGCGGGUCUCUGGGCAAUUCCUGACGCUGAGGCGCGAAAGCGUGGGGAGCAAACGGG
rnacentral:rRNA from 1 species